rnacentral:ncRNA from 2 species
CACUUAUCAAGAGUGGCGGAGGGACUGGCCCAAAGAUGCCCGGCAACCAAUACAUUGUGUAUAAGGUGCCAAAUCCAGCAGCUGAAGAAGCUGAGAGAUGAGGA